UGAAGGCAGAAACAUCACCUAGCUGAGCUGCAGCAGGAACAACCAGGAGAUGGAAGAUGUCCAGGUGGACCCAGAAGAAGAUCUCAUUGUUAUAAUGGGGGAGAGAACUGUAACAGUCACAAAACAGCACUGCCCAGAUGCAAGUUCCUUUCCCUGUGGCCUCUGGAAUACUCCUUGCUGGAAAAGCCCUACCAGUAUACACAACUUCAAUCAAAGCUAAAGAAAAAUAUCUACUCGAAGGGUGAGCAGUCUAUUUGCUCACAGCUGCCCACUAUCCUUUAUUUUCUUAGAUCUUCCCUAUCUUUAGAGAGCUCAACUUCAAUCAGUCCUUUCACUCUCAAUGAUAUGUUAAUAUCCUAAACACAAAAGAAAUAAUAGGGAAAAAAACAACCUGUUCCCCACUGAGCUGCUUUCAGCAGCUUCCUCCAUCUCCACACUCUGGCACUCACUGUAGAUGGGCCCUGCAGCAUACCCUUUCAGCAGUUAGAACUCCUCUGAGCUCUUAGACUGAAUCUCAAUCUUCUUCCCCACCUCUGGAGUCUCUGUCACUCUUCCCUGCACUCCCGUCCGGACCACUGGCUUGCUUGCGGACUUCAUCCUCCCUCUCCCCUCCUGUAGGUUUUUUUUCUCCCAAGAAGGGCAUCAAACUCAAGAGAUGCCAAACUGGAAGGAGUGGUAACUUCUGAAACAGUCUUCUGGCAGCUGUAUUUCUCCCUCCGUCAGUCUGGCUUCUUGUUGGUCCCAGUAAGUUUUUCAGAUCCCUUUCCCUGUUCUCUGAAGAGGCAGGGGAAGCCUCGUCACACCAGUGUGAGGGGCAUUCUAAGGAGUGUUUUGAAAGAGGGGAGUUUGCAGAUGAUGAAAAACAGAAAUCCCCAUUUUCUAGAUUAACAAUACCCCCUUUAGAGAUUUUUCUUAAUGGUGCCACAACUAUGACAUUGAAUUAUGCCUUGUCUGAGAAUCAGAAAGAGGUCCUACACACUCCAUUACUCUUUCCUUCCAUGCCAGCUGACCAAGGUACAGUAAGCACCCAGUCCUUCACCACUGAUUUCAGUAGAGUGGAGCUGGUAUGCUUUACACAGUUAAUUGGCCAGAGCAACUUACUUGAUUAACAAUGCACUAAGAGACAUUCAGAGACCACUAUCCUGCAAACUCUCUCUGCCACAAGUAAUAACCUAUUGCAUUAUAUUAGUUCCAGGAUAAGACCAUUUUUAUUUAAAUUUCAUUUGUUUAAUCAAAAUCAUUUAUCAACCUAAAUCAUCUCUUGAAUAUUUUGUGACCUGAAAUGUCAGCUUUUCUGAUUAAUGUAGUGGUUCAACUGUGGAAAUGCAUAACAUUUAACAGAUAUUAAGCAAAAUAUGUAUAUGCUUUCUUACCUACUUUGAUUGAAAUCUAUAUAUGUUGGUAGCUUCAAAUGGGAACCAAUUGCAUUUACAAUAGUGAAACUCUGGUGCAUCUCCAGUGAAGCCACUGAAAUUAUCCUGGAUUUAUUUUGAGACAAAUUAAAUCAGAACCUGAUCCAAAGUGUGAAUAACUGGUACCUUCCCAAGUAGUACUUGUAUAAUUUCUGUGCAGAGGUGAGUUUUUCCUAGAUCACUGGCAUACCUAAGAUCAGUGUAAUCUGGCCUUGGGAUAUUUAUUGACCAUAACUUUCAUUACAGAGCAGCCAAAUACCAAAUCUGUGCAAGUUUUAAAAGUCUGUAUUAAAGGUUUAAACCUUUUUGCUUAUGAAAAAUGUUCCUACAAAUGUUCCUGUCCCAUUUGGGAUAUUAAAUGUGAGCUAUACAUUUGCUCUGAAGGAACUGUUAUAACUAGUUAUAGCCCUUGAUCCAGAGCACCUUAUAAAAAAACAUUUUUUAUUUUAUUUUAUUUUAAGGGGAGAUAGUAGGCUACAUGGAAGUCAGGCUAUAUGGAGCUAGGUUGUAUAAAUAUAGCUCAGUAAAAUGUCCAUAGUAAAAUAAUAAUAAUAAUAAUAAUUAAUAACUUGUAACUGUCACCUGCUAUAUAUUGAGUACUUCAUCCAAAUAGCCAAGAAUACAUCUACAGGCAUACAUUACUUCACCACAGGUACUAGGGAAGUCAAAGUAUUUUGAAAUGUUAUCAAAAACUGCCAGUGAGUGAUAGUUUGCUCAGCAUCUUCUCUCCUCUUAUUCUCUCCCCAUCCUCUUUUAUUGGCAUUGGAGAUGCUCCAGAAAAAUCCUGGAAGAGGGAAAUAAAUAUCCUCAAGAAUGGUGGGGCUGAAUGUACAUCAUCUGGAAGAAACACAAUGAUGAUGAAUGACUGGUGGAUGAAAGAGUAAGAAGUGAGAAAAACAUACAGAAGUCUCCAACAUUAGAGCAAACUUCUUGUAGAGAAGUAAAGCAAGGACUGUGAGAGCUCAUCUAGUCUAACCAGGGAUUGAACCUGCACCGUGCUCUAACCAAGCUAAUCAGCCACUGAAUGAUACAGCUCUGUGGAGCUAAAAAAUAGCAGAAGGAAAUUAGCUUAAAAACUGUACCCAUGAAGUUAAACAUACCGGGAAUUAAUUAAAUCAAAGGUAAACAGGGAUUCAUCUUAAAAGCUACUAAAUCUUUUUCAGUAAAGAAUUAGGGAUGCACUCCUAGUCUGUUUAGAAUCGAUAGGAGUUUGCCACUGAAUCCCAUGAUGGAAGAAUUUCACUUAAGAUAUAUAAACUUUUGCCAGUAUGAGGAUAAAGCCCAUUCUUUCUAUCCCUAUACAUUGGACUAUUCAAACUCGUGACAGGCAAAUAUUAAACUGUAGAAAUAAGAUUUUUUUAAGAAGGAUAAUACAGUAACCAAAUAUUAUAAAUUCAUCUAAGUGUAUUAAGUGUGCUAAGUUGAAUAAGCAACGUUUUCUGUGAUGUCAUUCAUAAGCAGCUGUACAGUUUAUGAAAUUAUGAGGAAAUAUAUUGAAGGAUAAAAAUGGAUCCUAUUUACAAAUUAGAUGAAUUAGAGGAGUUACUACUAAAAGGUUAACAAUUACCAACAGUUAUUAAGCUUAGAUAUCUAUGAUACUUCAACUCUGUGCUUAAACUUAGGACAGCCAAAACUGUAUGAAUUAUUAGUUAGUAUAUGACAUAUAUUAUACUUAAGGCUACUUCAGUCACUGCUCUCAAACACAGCACCAAGAACUCCCAUUUUGCUGGACAGGGAUAAAAUGGGAGGGAAAUGAGGUAUAUAUCCUCUGGUGCCAAGGGUUCCAAGUGCAGCUAUCUCCUUCAUGCUUAUGUAGGUCCCUGUGAAGAUGUCUUGACUCCUUUAUGUAAAAUACACACCCUGAUUUUAGACAACACUAUCAACUGGCUUCUCACCUAUGGAUCUAAAACCUCCCCAUCUUAUAUUAAUUAAAUCUGUAUAGUAUCGUAAGAUAUAGAAGGUCACAUAUUAAACCUUUAUCCUUACAUACGGGAAGGGAACCAAAGGCCUCAGAUCUGGCUGAGUGAACUGCAUACAAAGACUAACAUUUGAUUGAAAAAAUACUAGACAGUGAUUUUCACCAGUGCUUACUCUGUGUGAGCCUCAGUAAGGCUAGGGACAGACAUUCAAAAUGCCUGAGCCUGUAUUGAUUCAAUCUUUGCAGGUUAGUCUAACCUGGCUAGGCUAAAUCAGUUUUGUAACCAGAGAGACGUCUGAGAAAUGCAAGCACAUGCCUGCAGUGGCUCAGGCUACAAACCGGAGAAUGCUAGAGCAGCCUUCCCUUCUAUUGCACAGGGCUCAGCUGAGAGAAGUGUGGCCAGGUCCCAGCAGGACACUGUGAUUAGGGAGCUCCUCCCCCCUUGGUAAAAGAGCAUUUAUCAACUCUAUUAUCAGCAUUCAACGCCCCAUCAGAAAACAAAGCUUCAUUCUUUACAAGCUCUUCUUAAGCAGCUUUUUCCAAAGGAAAAUGCAUACCAGCCUCUGCCUUCUUUACUAUUCGUUCCAUCCAGGAUGAGCACACACCAACUGCAGAUUCUUUCUCAGCCUGAUGAAGGGUUUUUAAACCCAGAAACUUACUAGGAAUUUUUUUCCCCCAACUAUUUAAUUGGUCUAAUAAAAGAUAUCAGAUUUACCCAAAAAACCUUGCCUCCAUUUUCCAAAGGAAGCAAUGCAGGAACAUUGCCAUCUGAGCUGUUGAUUAUCUCCAAAAAGCCCUAAGUGGACACUGUCCUAGCUGCCUUACACAGCAUUAGCUAGCAUACCACAUGCUGGCUAAAGUCUGUGCUGUGGGAGAGAGAAGAUAGGGAUCUCUGCUUAAGCAGCGAGUGGUUGGUGGGGAGGCGGAGGAGGGAAGAACAGGGAAGCUGACAGCCUUGGCUGUGCCUGAAAGUCUCUGCCGGAGCUCCAGUCAGGGAGCAGAGAGGAGGGGCCAGCCCUGCUAUGGAGCAGAGAGCCCCGCCCAGCCAGAGAGCAUGGUUAUGGUUAACCAGCCCCGCCCAGCCAGAGAGCAUCUGUUAUGGUUUAAGGCAGUUUCUGAGCACUUAAACCAGUUCAUGUGUAAUGUCUGUCCCUAUCCCAGAUGAGCAUGAUGAAAAAGGCAGAAGAAACAAGAGAGACAUGGUCUGAUUAGACUACCCAUGUAUACGGGGCAAACAUUUCCUUACAGAAAACUUGCUAUACUCCAUGUGUCCAUAACUAUUGUCAUCAGCAGGACAGGGCAUUCUGGGCAAAAGGAACAGGUCAACUAUUCGCAUGUUCCUUUAAAACUGCCAAGGACUGGAAUUUUUUGAAAUUUAAUAUUAGGGUUUGGCAACAUAAAUCUGAAGUAUUUAUAAUUACUUAUUUACUUAUAAUUUUUGGCUGGAUGUUUUGAUCUGUGGGAGCCUCUUUCAGUCUACCAAAUUUCUCACUGCUUGCAUUCUGUAUUAAGCUGAACAGUGAGCCUGAAGUAAAGGAGCCACAGACACACAGAACCCAGAACUCAUGUUAUCACUUAUAUUGACAACAAAAGGUAAUGAAUUAGAUCUCCAUUGCUAAGUAGAUGACCUAUUGAAAUAAUUGAAAGGAUAUUUGCCUGGGAAAUAAAACUGAUGGACAAGGUAGAGGUGAGAACAAAGAUGGAAGAUAAAUAGCACUGGCAGCUGCAACCUUUAAUGACCUCAGCAGAGCAAUCUGGAGAUGGCAAGAAAUUCAUGCUGAAAAAGGUUGAUUUAUAGACCCAAUGUCAGAAUGACCCAUAUCUAUGGAUAUGAAUUAUAAGCAAGGGCAGAUUAUCUGUCGAAACAGGAAACUGUCUUCAAAAACAAAUGUUUUUAAAGAAUGAUUGGCACUAGAUGAGAAGAUCUUUGUCAGAUUCAGUAAAAUGAAUUGAUCAAGAACAACUCUUCCAUUAAAGUCAGAAAAAGAAGUGGACCAGAUAAUUGGUGGAAAUAGUAGUAGUGUUAUAACAGCUGAAAAGAUUCAUGGAAUUGACAAUGACUUCACCAACAGGCGUUAUAAAAAUAUUUAAAUGAAGAUGAAAUCACAGCAUUCAGGAAUGUGACUAAGAAUGCUAUUAGCCUUCAUGAUCCAUAUUAGUUCAAUAUGUAGGUACUUGUUAUAAUUUAUACAUUGAGACCCAAGAGUUAAUGUUUACUUAUGAAGAUAUGUAAAUAAGCCUUACAGAGCUAAUGUUUGUGCUUUAUUGGCUAGAAACAACAUAAAGUAAUUUCCUUCAGAUUUGUGUGGCAUACAUAACAUAUACAGGCCUGUUGUAUUUCCAUCUCUCUUAACCAAUGGUAAUUUGCACAUGAAAGCUCUAACUUUUGUACUGAACACUGAAGCAGUUAGGUUGAAAUUAGGGGGCAAAAGUAGCUCAUCCUUAUCAAAAUUCUAAGGCCCCCUUAGAGAGUAAAAACUCUCAUGUUAAAUAAAAAAGAGAGCAUUGAAGAGCAAAUAUACUUGU